rnacentral:rRNA from 1 species
GACGAACGCUGGCGGCGUGCUUAACACAUGCAAGUCGAACGGAAAGGCCCUGCUUGUUGGGUGUUCGAGUGGCGAACGCGUGUGUAACACGCGGGUGUUCUCCCCCUUACACUUUGAUAUACCUUGGAAACUCUGUCUAUUACCCGAGAUGACAACCCCUUAUUCUUGGCUGUGGUAAGUUUUUUCGGUUAGGGAUGGGCUCGCGGCCUGUCAGCUUGUUGGUGGGGUAGUGGCCUACCAAGGCGUCGACGGGUAGCCGGCCUGAGAGGGUGGACGGCCACAUUGGGACUGAGAUACGGCCCAGACUCCUACGGGAGGCAGCAGUGGGGAAUAUUGCACAAUGGGCGGAAGCCUGAUGCAGCGACGCCGCGUGGGGGAUGACGGCCUUCGGGUUGUAAACCGCUUUCGCCAGGGACGAAGCGUUGGUGACGGUAACGGGAUAAGAAGCACCGGCUAACUACGUG